CAGGAGCAAGCAACCAGGUCUGGGCUGCUGCCAACUCACCUCAAGCACACCCUUCUCCAUCUUGCGCCAUAUCCACUCUGGGUGGGGGUAGCCAACUGACUUGCAGUACAUCAUGGCAUCCUGCCCUUCAUUCUUAUUCUCACUCCGUUUAUG